UACCACCUGUACUGACUGUGACUACACUAAGGCUGACAGUCCUGUGAUUAAACACACUGAGAUGAUUAGUCUGAAUGGGCUUUGGGCUCCUGGCUUCUUUCCCAUUGAUUUUCAAUGGGCAAUAAUAACACGCUGAUAAAUUCUACACAGGAAAGGGAUGCAAGGACACAGAGGACUUUCACGCGCACCUUAACCAGACUUAUGUUUGCCCAUGACAAUGGUCACAUUUCACUAAAUUAGUAAUUGUGCCAGCCCCCUUUUUGUUUCUGCAGUAUCAUUUCUUUUCAAUGGAUGGCUUGAAGUAAAGCGAUUGAAGUUUGAUGAAGCCUCAUCUGACAGUAAUUAAAGUCAGGACACUACUACAACAUGAAACAGAAGUGAAGGAAGAAUGAGACUGAGAACAAGCAGGGGAGUGGCAGAGAGAGAGGGAGAGAGAGAAUCCCAAGCAGGCUCCACACCGUCAGCACAGAGAACCGACUGAGCCACCCAGACUCCCCGCUUCCUUCUACUUUCUUUGAGUUUACUUCACUGCCCUUUUCUAAUAUCCUAAGAAGAAUAUUUAGUCCAUUAAUAUUCUGCCAUAAUUCUUAUCUGACUGUUUUUUAGAUUCUAAGGGCAUAAGAAUUAGACGUAAAGGUAUUUUUGACAAUAUAUUCAUAUACAUAGAAAAUAUAAAAGAAUGUACCUAUAAAUUAUUAAAGUAACUAAGUGGAUUUAGCCAGAUUGCUAGAUAAAUAUGCCAAGAUCAGUCUAAGAAAAGAAAUUAUCUUUCCAAAUGCUGGCAACAAAUAUUGGGAAACAAAUUAUUUUAAGAAAGAUAAUUCUUAAAGUAGUGUCAAAACCAUCCAGUAUCUAUAAAUUUAACAAAAUAUGUACAAAGCAUUACUGACAGAAAUUGUUAAAGACCUAAGCAAAUCAUAGGA